UCAAUAAGCGGAGGAAAAGAAACUAACAAGGAUUCCCCUAGUAACUGCGAGUGAAGCGGGAAAAGCUCAAAUUUAAAAUCUGGCAGAUUUUUGUCUGUCCGAGUUGUAACCUAGAGAAGUGUAACCUGUGCUGGACCGUGUACAAGUCUCCUGGAAUGGAGCAUCAUAGAGGGUGAGAAUCCCGUCUUUGACAUGGACUACCAGUGCACUGUGGUUGCGCACUCGACGAGUCGAGUUGUUUGGGAAUGCAGCUCUAAAUGGGUGGUAAAUUCCAUCUAAAGCUAAAUAUUGGCGAGAGACCGAUAGCGAACAAGUACCGUGAGGGAAAGAUGAAAAGAACUUUGGAAAGAGAGUUAAACAGUAUGUGAAAUUGUUGAAAGGGAAACGCUUGAAGUCAGCUGCAUUGGCUGGGGAUCAAGCCAGCUUAUUUGCUGGGUGUACUUCCUGGUUGAUGGGCCAACAUCAGUUUUGACCAUCAGAGAAAGGCCAAGGGAAUGUGGCACCUUUAUAGGUGUGUUAUAGUCCUUGGUUGUAUGUGGUGGUUGGGACUGAGGAUAGCAGCGUGCCGCAAGGCUCGGGUUUCGACCACGUUCACGCUUGGGAUGUUGGCAUAAUGGCUUUAAGCGACCCGUCUUGA
rnacentral:rRNA from 1 species